rnacentral:lncRNA from 1 species
GAAAUUGAUCUUUUCCUUGCUCCUAGUAGAGAAAGACAGAGAAGGUAACAAAUUGAGUAGCUUCUCAAUUCUCACUAAAAGGAGACCCUAUGACACAGGUGUAUGAGAUGGUGGUGUUUGUUUCUUUUCUUCCAAGUUUUUUCUUUUGAUUUUGCUCUUGAAUUUUGGAAGGGUUGGUUAGAGAGUUUAAAGAGUUGGUGUUUUGAAGGAACAGAUAGGCCAACAAAAAUAAACUAACUCCUACCAAGGUGGAGUUGUUCAGAAAUCUCAGACUUUGUUUUUGGUUUCUCCUGGAGAAUU